rnacentral:rRNA from 1 species
AACGAACGCUGGCGGCAGGCCUAACACAUGCAAGUCGAACGCUGUAGCAAUACAGAGUGGCAGACGGGUGAGUAACGCGUGGGAACCUUCCCAAUGGUGCGGAAUAGCCCAGGGAAACUUGGGGUAAUACCGCAUAAGCCCCUAGGGGGAAAGAUUUAUCGCCAUUGGAUGGGCCCGCGUCGGAUUAGCUAGUUGGUGAGGUAAUGGCUCACCAAGGCAACGAUCCGUAGCUGGUUUGAGAGAAUGACCAGCCACACUGGGACUGAGACACGGCCCAGACUCCUACGGGAGGCAGCAGUGGGGAAUCUUGGACAAUGGGCGCAAGCCUGAUCCAGCCAUGCCGCGUGAGUGACGAAGGCCUUAGGGUUGUAAAGCUCUUUUGCCGGGGACGAUAAUGACGGUACCCGGAGAAUAAGUCCCGGCUAACUUCGUGCCAGCAGCCGCAGUAA